CUUGGGAUGAGCAGUGGCUGAUUGAAUCACUUUCUGACUCCACUAUUUACAUGGCAUUUUACACAGUUGCACACCUGUUGCAGGGGGGUAACUUGCAUGGACAGGCAGAGUCUCCGCUGGGCAUUAGACCGCAACAGAUGACCAAGGAAGUUUGGGAUUAUGUUUUCUUCAAGGAGGCUCCAUUUCCUAAGACUCAGAUCGCAAAGGAAAAAUUAGAUCAGUUAAAGCAGGAGUUUGAGUUCUGGUAUCCUGUUGAUCUUCGCGUCUCUGGCAAGGAUCUUGUUCCAAAUCAUCUUUCAUAUUACCUUUAUAAUCAUGUGGCUAUGUGGCCGGAACAAAGUGACAAAUGGCCUACAGCUGUGAGAGCAAAUGGACAUCUCCUCUUGAACUCUGAGAAGAGACGGGAUUUCACCGUGUUCGCCAGGAUGGUCUCAGUCUCCUGAUCUCAUGAUCCGCCCGCCUCAGCCUCCCAAAGUGCUGGGAUUACAGAUGUCAAAAUCCACGGGCAACUUCCUCACUUUGACCCAAGCUAUUGACAAAUUUUCAGCAGAUGGAAUGCGUUUGGCUCUGGCUGAUGC
rnacentral:sRNA from 1 species